GCCGGGCGCGAUGGCUCACGCCUGUAAUCCCAGCACUUUGGGAGGCCGAGGUGGGUGGAUCACCUGAGGUCAGGAGUUCUAGACCAGCCUGGCCAACAUGGUGAAACCCCAUCUCAA
rnacentral:SRP_RNA from 1 species